ensembl:lncRNA
AGCACAAACUGCAGUUCCUCCAGUGUCCACUAGAGGCUGUCUCAUACAGUGAGUCUGGAUGGUAACCUUAUGUUACUCUAGCUCCAUCACACUGAGUGUUUCCGCCUCUCUGCAGGUGGCGCUGUUCGUCAUGGCGGUGUAUCUGUACCGUGCAUUUGGAGAAGGCCGCGCUCUGAAACGGACCGAUCUGCUGGCUGGCAGAGACCACGCCCCCACCGAUGACCUGGGGGAGCUGAACUACACCUACAAUGACCAGGGUGUGUCGUGUCCUCACAGGGUAUACCCCGCCUCUCACCCAAAGCUAGCUAGGCUAGGCUCCAGCCCCCCGUGACCCUCCACUGCAG